UCUUCAAUUUACAGAGAAAAUUUAAGAGAGAGUUUGGAAGGAAGAAGAAGAGGAAUUUUACUAGAGUUUUGAGGUUUAAGAAGAGAAGGAGAACUCAAGCAAAGUAUAUCCAUGGCAGAAUCUUGGUUCAUUCUGCACAUCACUGGUUUUUAAUUUUUUUUGAACUCUUCAAAUGGAAUUAAGAGGGUAGCUGGUUUUCAUGCAAAUUCUGGAUGUCUCUGGUUUUUCUUGUAUUUCAGAGUGUACCGAUGGCGUUAGGAUUUCUAUUUGGUAGAGAUCGAGUUCCCGUGGCUGAUAGACUGCCUUAGUCUGCUGAAGCUCCAUUAUUGAUUGCCAGUACGUGUUUCGAGGUUGGCAUAGAGUCUGCUGUGUUAUGAUGAGUCAUGCCACCACGUACUCGCAGACGACGCCGACAGAAUUAAGACGGGAUGCAAGGUUCUACCUAAGGACAAUCUGUAGGGGAACCUAGUACCCUAAGAGUUUGAGGUAGGGCAGGAAAUGAGCAGUUUGUGAGAACUGCACAGAAGAUAGGAAGGCAAGAGAGAGUAGAGCCUAGUGAUCCAGAAAAGGCAGACGAAAUUGAACGGUUGAAGAAGUUAGGGUUAUAGUGUUUGAGGGUUCCAUAGAUCUAGCUGAUGCAGAGAACUGGUUGAAUAUUCUUGAAAAGUGUUUUGAUGUGAUGAAUAGUUCUGAGGUGCGAAAGGUUAGAUUGGCCACAUUUUUGUUGCAAAAGGAGGUUAAAGGAUGGUGGAAAUCUAUAUUAGCUAGGCGCAGUGAUGCACGUGCUUUGGACUAGCAGACUUUUAGAGGCAUAUUCGAAGAUAAGUAUUAUCCCAGCACAUAUUGCGAAGCCAAGAGGGAUGAAUUUCUGGGGUUGAAACAAGGAUCACUUUCAGUGGCUAAGUAUGAGAGGAAGUAUACCGAGUUAUGAGAGGAAGUAUACCGAGCUUUCACGGUAUGCUGACGUUAUUGUGGCUUUUGAGAGUGACAAGUGUCGAAGGUUUGAAAGAGGGUUGCGUUUUGAAAUACGUACCCUAAUUACAGCCAUUGCUAAAUGGACGAAUGUUUCUGAGUUAGUGGAGACUGUCCUUCGUGUGGAGCAAAGUAUAAUAGAAGAGAAAUCAACAGUGGAGCUUAGUCGUAUGACUUCAACAGCUAGUGGAUUUAAAGGACGUGAGCAGCGGAGGUUCACACCUGGGAUAAAUAUUUCGAGCCGUUAAGACUUUAAGAAUCGGUCUGGUGGCCAAGCAUCAAGGAACUUGAGUUAUGGUAGUGUUUUUCAGAGACAAAGCCAGAGAAUACCUAGUCAACCCACUAGAUCAACAGUAAGAUCGCAACCAGGUGAGGAGUCCGUUGCUAGUACAGUCAGGCGAACAUCAUGCACAAGUUGUGGUAGGAACAUCGAGGUUAGUGUUUGGUGGGUGCCAGUGUAUGUUACCAGUGCGGACAGCCAAGACAUUUCAAGAAAGAUUGUCCGCAGUUGAACAUGAAAGUUGAGAGAGAUCAAGAAGUUGGGUCCCAGACAGUUAAGCAAUCGAGAGUUUCAGUGGUUCCAACAGAGGGCACCAGUGGUGCGAGGCAAAAGGGAGUUUUUGGAAGACCUAGGUAAUAAGGAAAAGUCUAUGCUAUGACUCAACAAGAAGCAGAGGAUGCACCAGACGUUAUUACUGGUUGAUCCAAUAAGUACAACUGAAUACCAAGUAACAGAUGGAAAUCAAUAGUUUAUUGUGAAGUUAAACGUGGGAUGUUGUAGUUGCCAAGUAUGGGAUGUUGAAGAAAUUCCUUGUGCACAUGCUCUUGCUGUUCUACGAAUGCUUAAUUUAGAUACCUAUUCUUAUGUAUCUGAGUUUUAUUAUAGAGAAACAUUAUCAACAACAUACAAUGGUUGUAUUCAACCUGUUAGAUCUCAUUUUGAUUGGAGAGUUGUAGAUUCUGUCAUGAAAAUAUUACCUUUAAUCUUUAAACAGUUUCAUGUUUUUUACAGUUAAACAAUCAUGAUCAGCAUGUGUUAGAAGGAAUUCAAU